rnacentral:rRNA from 1 species
UAAUACGGGGGGUGCAAGCGUUGUUCGGAAUUAUUGGGCGUAAAGAGCGUGUAGGCGGCCUGAUGUGUCAGAUGUGAAAGCCCUGGGCUUAACCCAGGAAGUGCAUUUGAAACUGUCAGGCUUGAGUAGGGGAGAGGGAAGUGGAAUUCCUGGUGUAGAGGUGAAAUUCGUAGAUAUCAGGAGGAACACCGGUGGCGAAGGCGACUUCCUGGCCCUAUACUGACGCUGAGACGCGAGAGCGUGGGUAGCAAACAGGAUUAGAUACCCUGGUAGUCCACGCCGUAAACGAUGUUCACUAGGUGUUGGGGGUAUUGACCCCCUCAGUGCCGGAGCUAACGCAUUAAGUGAACCGCCUGGGGAGUACGGUCGCAAGACUAAAACUCAAAGGAAUUGACGG